rfam:Felis catus isolate Cinnamon breed Abyssinian chromosome D3, whole genome shotgun sequence.
GUCUACGGCCAUACCACCCUGAACACGCCCGAUCUCGUCUGAUCUCGGAAGGUAAGCAGGGUCGGGCCUGGUUAGUACUUGGAUGGGAGACCGAAUCAGCCUUUUGGCUAAUCCUUGGGUGGAGGAUC